GAUGAACGCUGGCGGCGUGCCUAAUACAUGCAAGUCGAGCGAACAGACGAGGAGCUUGCUCCUCUGACGUUAGCGGCGGACGGGUGAGUAACACGUGGAUAACCUACCUAUAAGACUGGGAUAACUUCGGGAAACCGGAGCUAAUACCGGAUAAUAUAUUGAACCGCAUGGUUCAAUAGUGAAAGACGGUUAUGCUGUCACUUAUAGAUGGAUCCGCGCCGCAUUAGCUAGUUGGUAAGGUAACGGCUUACCAAGGCAACGAUGCGUAGCCGACCUGAGAGGGUGAUCAGCCACACUGGAACUGAGACACGGUCCAGACUCCUACGGGAGGCAGCAGUAGGGAAUCUUCCGCAAUGGGCGAAAGCCUGACGGAGCAACGCCGCGUGAGUGAUGAAGGUCUUCGGAUCGUAAAACUCUGUUAUUAGGGAAGAACAAAUGUGUAAGUAACUAUGCACGUCUUGACGGUACCUAAUCAGAAAGCCACGGCUAACUACGUG
rnacentral:rRNA from 1 species